UACGUAGGGUGCGAGCGUUAAUCGGAAUACUGGGCGUAAAGCGUGCGCAGGCGGUGAUGUAAGACAGAUGUGAAAUCCCCGGGCUCAACCUGGGAACUGCAUUUGUGACUGCAUCGCUGGAGUGCGGCAGAGGGGGGAUGGAAUUCCGCGUGUAGCAGUGAAAUGCGUAGAUAUGCGGAGGAACACCGAUGGCGAAGGCAAUCCCCUGGCGCAC
rnacentral:rRNA from 1 species